rnacentral:rRNA from 1 species
CUGUCUGAAUAUGGGGGGACCAUCCUCCAAGGCUAAAUACUCCUGACUGACCGAUAGUGAACCAGUACCGUGAGGGAAAGGCGAAAAGAACCCCGGCGAGGGGAGUGAAAAAGAACCUGAAACCGUGUACGUACAAGCAGUGGGAGCACGCUUAGGCGUGUGACUGCGUACCUUUUGUAUAAUGGGUCAGCGACUUAUAUUCUGUAGCAAGGUUAACCGAAUAGGGGAGCCGAAGGGAAACCGAGUCUUAACUGGGCGUUAAGUUGCAGGGUAUAGACCCGAAACCCGGUGAUCUAGCCAUGGGCAGGUUGAAGGUUGGGUAACACUAACUGGAGGACCGAACCGACUAAUGUUGAAAAAUUAGCGGAUGACUUGUGGCUGGGGGUGAAAGGCCAAUCAAACCGGGAGAUAGCUGGUUCUCCCCGAAAGCUAUUUAGGUAGCGCCUCGUGAAUUCAUCUCCGGGGGUAGAGCACUGUUUCGGCAAGGGGGUCAUCCCGACUUACCAACCCGAUGCAAACUGCGAAUACCGGAGAAUGUUAUCACGGGAGACACACGGCGGGUGCUAACGUCCGUCGUGAAGAGGGAAACAACCCAGACCGCCAGCUAAGGUCCCAAAGUCAUGGUUAAGUGGGAAACGAUGUGGGAAGGCCCAGACAGCCAGGAUGUUGGCUUAGAAGCAGCCAUCAUUUAAAGAAAGCGUAAUAGCUCACUGGUCGAGUCGGCCUGCGCGGAAGAUGUAACGGGGCUAAACCAUG